GACGAAGGAUGCAAGCGUUAUCCGGAUUCAUUGGGUUUAAAGGGUGCGUAGGCGGAAUUAUAAGUCAGUGGUGAAAUCUCUCAGCUUAACUGAGAAACUGCCAUUGAUACUGUAGUUCUAGAGUAUAGAUGACGUUGGCGGAAUAUGACAUGUAGUGGUGAAAUACUUAGAUAUGUCAUAGAACACCGAUUGCGAAGGCAGCUAACGAAACUAUAACUGACGGCUGAGGCACGAAAGUGCCGGGGAUCAAACAGG
rnacentral:rRNA from 1 species